rnacentral:rRNA from 1 species
AACGAACGCUGGCGGCAUGCCUAACACAUGCAAGUCGAACGAGAUCUUCGGGUCUAGUGGCGCACGGGUGCGUAACGCGUGGGAAUCUGCCCUUUGGUUCGGAAUAACAGUUGGAAACGACUGCUAAUACCGGAUGAUGACGAAAGUCCAAAGAUCUAUCGCCAGAGGAUGAGCCCGCGUAGGAUUAGCUAGUUGGUGUGGUAAAGGCGCACCAAGGCGACGAUCCUUAGCUGGUCUGAGAGGAUGAUCAGCCACACUGGGACUGAGACACGGCCCAGACUCCUACGGGAGGCAGCAGUGGGGAAUAUUGGACAAUGGGCGAAAGCCUGAUCCAGCAAUGCCGCGUGAGUGAUGAAGGCCUUAGGGUUGUAAAGCUCUUUUACCCGGGAUGAUAAUGACAGUACCGGGAGAAUAAGCUCCGGCUAGCUCCGUGCCAGCCGCCGCUGUAA